GGCUAACUACGUGCCAGCAGCCGCGGUAAUACGUAGAUUGCAAGCGUUAUCCGGAAUUACUGGGCGUAAAGCGCACGCAGGCGGUUCGUUAAGUCUGAUGUGAAAUCCCCGGCUCAACCUGGGAGCUGCAUUCGAAACUGGCAGACUAGAGUCUGUAGAGGAAAGUAGAAUUCCAGGUGUAGCGGUGAAAUGCGUAGAGAUCUGGAGGAACACCGGUGGCGAAGGCGACCUCCUGGACAGAGACUGACGCUCAGGCUCGAAAGCGUGGGGAGCAAACAGGAUUAGAUACCCUGGUAGUCCACGCCGUAAACGAUGUCGACUAGGAGGUUGUGCCCUUGAGGCGUGGCUUCCGGAGCUAACGGCUUAAGUCGACCGCCUGGGGAGUACGGCCGCAAGGUUAGAACUCAAAUGAAUUGACGGGGGCCCGCACCAGCGGUGGAGCAAGUGGUUUAAUUCGAUGCAACGCGAAGAACCUUACCUACUUUUGACAUCCAGAGAACCUCGCAGAGAUGGUUUGGUGCCUUUGGGAAAUAAGAGACCGGUGCUGCAUGGGUGUUGUCAGCUUGUGUUGUGAAAUGUUGGGUUAAGUCCCGCAACGAGCGCAACCCUUAUCUUUUGUUGCCAGCGGUUCGGCCGGGCACUCAAAUGAGACUGCCAGUGAUAAACAGGAGGAAGGUGGGGAUGACGUCAAGUCAUCAUGCCCCUUAUGAGUAGGGCUACACACGUGCUACAAUGGCGCAUACAAA
rnacentral:rRNA from 1 species